UACAUAGGGGGCAAGCGUUAUCCGGAAUUAUUGGGCGUAAAGGGUGCGUAGGCGGCCCUGCAAGUCAGCGGUGAAAUGUGGCGGCUCAACCGUGGCACUGCCAUUGAUACUGUGAGUCUUGAGUAUAGUUGAAGUGGGCGGAAUGUAGCAUGUAGCGGUGAAAUGCAUAGAUAUGCUACAGAACACCGAUAGCGAAGGCAGCUCACUAAGUUAUAACUGACGCUCAUGCACGAAAGCGUGGGGAUCAAAC
rnacentral:rRNA from 1 species